GUGGGGAAUCUUCCACAAUGGACGAAAGUCUGAUGGAGCAACGCCGCGUGAGUGAAGAAGGUUUUCGAAUCGUAAAGCUCUGUUGUCAGGGACGAAUGUUGAGACCGAGAAUAUUGGUUUCAAAUGACGGUACCUGACGAGGAAGCCACGGCUAACUACGUGCCAGCAGCCGCGGUAAUACGUAGGUGGCGAGCGUUGUCCGGAAUUAUUGGGCGUAAAGGGAGCGCAGGUGGGCUGUCAAGUCUGUCUUAAAAGUGCGGGGCUUAACCCCGUGAUGGGAUAGAAACUGGCAGUCUUGAGUGCAGGAGAGGAAAGCGGAAUUCCUAGUGUAGCGGUGAAAUGCGUAGAUAUUAGGAGGAACACCAGUGGCGAAGGCGACUUUCUGGACUGUAACUGACGCUGAGGCUCGAAAGCCAGGGGAGCGAACGGGAUUAGAUACCCGGGUAGUCC
rnacentral:rRNA from 1 species